AUUGAACGCUGGCGGCAGGCUUAACACAUGCAAGUCGAACGAGUGGCGGACGGGUGAGUAACGCGUGGGAAACUGCCCGAUGGAAGGGGAAAACCAAUGGAAACGGUAGCCAAAACCGCAUACUCUCGGAUGUGCCCAGCUGUGAAUAGCUAGUUGGGGGGGUAAAGGCUCCCCAAGGCGACGAUCCCUAACUGGGCUGAGAGGAUGAACAGCCAAACGGGACCUGGGACACGGUCAAGACUCCAAGGGGAGGCAGAAGUGGGGAAUAUUGCCCAAGGGGGGAAAGCUGGAUGGGGCCAUGCCAGUGGUAUGAAGAAGGCCUUCGGGUUGUAAAGUACUUUCAGCGGGGCGGCGGUACCCGCAGAAGAAGCAACGGCUAACUCCGUGCCAGCAGCCGCGGUAAUAC
rnacentral:rRNA from 1 species